rnacentral:rRNA from 1 species
CCUACGGGUGGCUGCAGUGGGGAAUAUUGGACAAUGGGGGCAACCCUGAUCCAGCCAUGCCGCGUGUGUGAAGAAGGCCCUCGGGUUGUAAAGCACUUUCAGUGAGGAAGAACGCCUGGUGGUUAAUACCCAUCAGGAAAGACAUCACUCACAGAAGAAGCACCGGCUAACUCCGUGCCAGCAGCCGCGGUAAUACGGAGGGUGCGAGCGUUAAUCGGAAUUACUGGGCGUAAAGCGCGCGUAGGUGGCUUGAUAAGCCGGUUGUGAAAGCCCCGGGCUCAACCUGGGAACGGCAUCCGGAACUGUCAAGCUAGAGUGCAGGAGAGGAAGGUAGAAUUCCCGGUGUAGCGGUGAAAUGCGUAGAGAUCGGGAGGAAUACCAGUGGCGAAGGCGGCCUUCUGGACUGACACUGACACUGAGGUGCGGAAGCGUGGGUAGCAAACAGGAUUAGAUACCCGUGUAGUC